AUCUUUGUGAAGUGGCAGUAUCAUAGCCCGUGAGGUUUAUCCGAGUCACGAGAAUUGGCAGUUGAAAAUGUUUCCCCAAUACCCUGCUUAGUUGAUUUGAAAUAGAGUCAGCUAUGGCAGUUUUUGAUAGUCUCCAUUGUGA